GUAAAUAUAGUUUAAUAAAACAUUAGACUGUGAAUCUAAAAAUAAGAACUAACCCUCUUUAUUUACC
rnacentral:tRNA from 1 species